rnacentral:rRNA from 1 species
GCAACUUGCCUACAUGAAGCUGGAAUUGCUAGUAAUCACAGGUCAGCAUACUGUGGUGAAUACGUUCCCGGGCCUUGUACACACCGCCCGUCACACCAUGAGAGUUGAGAAUACCCGAAGUCCAUGUCAAAGUGGCCGAAGGUAGGCUUGAUGAUUGGGGUGAAGUCGUAACAAGGUAAC